CAAAAAGUAAGUAAGGGCACAUGGCGGAUGCCUUGGCUCUCGGAGGCGAUGAAGGACGUGAUAAGCUGCGAUAAGCUGCGGGUAGGUGCAAAUGACCUUUGAUCCGCGGAUUUCCGAAUGGGACAACUCGGUACUUUGAAGAAGUAUCAUCCUGCAUUGCAGGAGGCUAACGCAGGGAACUGAAACAUCUUAGUACCUGCAGGAAAAGAAAAUAAACAAUGAUUCCCCCAGUAGUGGCGAGCGAACGGGGAAUAGCCCAAACCAUCCAUGUUACGGCAUGGGUGGGGUUGUAGGACCACGCCGUGGCAAGAAAGUUGGUGAGCAGAAUGUUCUGGAAAGUACAGCCAUAGAGCAUGACAGCUGCGUAUGCGAAGCCAAGCGAAGCCUAGUGGUAUCCUGAGUAGCGCGGAGCACGAGGAAUUCUGCGUGAAUCUGCCGGGACCAUCCGGUAAGGCUAAAUACUCCCGAGAGACCGAUAGUGAACCAGUACUGUGAAGGAAAGGUGAAAAGCACUUCGAACAGAAGAGUGAAAUAGUUCCUGAAACCAUGUGCCUACAAGCGGUCGGAGCACCUUCUGGUGUGACGGCGUGCCUUUUGCAUAAUGAACCUACGAGUUACUUUUUCCGGCGAGGUUAAGGAUUUCAGAUCUGCAGCCGAAGCGAAAGCGAGUCUGAACAGGGCGUAUAGUCGGAAGGAGUAGACGCGAAACCAAGUGAUCUACCCUUGGGCAGGUUGAAGGAUGGGUAACACCAUCUGGAGGACCGAACCAAUAAGCGUUGAAAAGCUUCUGGAUGACCUGAGGGUGGGGGUGAAAGGCUAAUCAAACUUGGAGAUAGCUCGUACUCCCCGAAAUGCAUUUAGGUGCAGCCUUGACUUAUACUGGCAUGAGGUAGAGCGACUGAUAAGAUGCGAGGGCUUCACCGCCUAUCAAGUCUUGACAAACUCCGAAUGCGUGUCAGUUCUAUGUCAGGAGUGAGGGCAUGGGUGCUAAGGUCCAUGUCCUAAAGGAGAACAAUCCGGACCAACAGCUAAGGUCCCGAAAUGAAUACUAAGUUGAACUAACGAAGUCAGAUUGCUAAGACAGCUAGGAUGUUGGCUUGGAAGCAGCCAUUCAUUUAAAGAGUGCGUAACAGCUCACUAGUCGAGGAGUUUGGCGUGGAUAAUAAUCGGGCAUAAGUAUUCUACCGAAGCUUUGGGAUGAGAAAUCAUCGGUAGGGGAGCAUUCCACUCGGCGUCGAAGGUGAGGCGCGAGCUUUGCUGGAGCGUGUGGAAAAGCAAAUGUAGGUAUAAGUAACGAUAAAGGGGGUGGGAAACCCCCUCGCCGAAAGACUAAGGUUUCCUGAUCAACGCUAAUCGGAUCAGGGUAAGUCGGGUCCUAAGGCUCAGCCGAACGGCGAGGCCGAUGGCAGAACCGGUUAAUAUUCCGGUACUACCUGUGGGAGUGACGUGGAGACGGAGUCGUGACAGCGCCGCGGACUGACGGAAUAGUCCGUUGAAGGGUGUAGAUGCUGAUUGUUCCAGGCAAAUCCGGAGCAAGAGUCGAACCUGAUAGUAUGGAGCGUUCUUAGAACAAUCCAAUAGUGCGUGUAAUCAUACUUCCAAGAAAAUCCGCUAAACUUAAUCCUGCAGGUACCCGUACCGCAAACGGACACACGUAGUCGGGUUGAAUAUACUAAGGCGCUUGAGUGAUUCACGGUUAAGGAACUAGGCAAACUGACCCUGUAACUUCGGGAUAAAGGGUCCUCGCUUUACGGCGAGGCGCAGAGAAUAGGUCCAGGCAACUGUUUAACAAAAACACAGGGCUGUGCAAAAUUGAAAGAUGAAGUAUACAGCCUGACACCUGCCCGGUGCUGGAAGGUUAAGAGGAGAUGUCAUCGCAAGAGAAGCAUUGAAUUGAAGCCCCAGUAAACGGCGGCCGUAACUAUAACGGUCCUAAGGUAGCGAAAUUCCUUGUCGGGUAAGUUCCGACC
rnacentral:rRNA from 1 species